GACGAACGCUGGCGGCGUGCUUAACACAUGCAAGUCGAACGGAAAGGCCCUUUCGGGGGUACUCGAGUGGCGAACGGGUGAGUAACACGUGGGUGAUCUGCCCUGCACUUCGGGAUAAGCCUGGGAAACUGGGUCUAAUACCGGAUAGGACUACGGCCUGCAUGGGUUGUGGUGGAAAGCUUUUGCGGUGUGGGAUGGGCCCGCGGCCUAUCAGCUUGUUGGUGGGGUGAUGGCCUACCAAGGCGACGACGGGUAGCCGGCCUGAGAGGGUGACCGGCCACACUGGGACUGAGAUACGGCCCAGACUCCUACGGGAGGCAGCAGUGGGGAAUAUUGCACAAUGGGCGCAAGCCUGAUGCAGCGACGCCGCGUGAGGGAUGACGGCCUUCGGGUUGUAAACCUCUUUCAGUAUCGACGAAGCGCAAGUGACGGUAGGUACAGAAGAAGGACCGGCCAACUACGUGCCAGCAGCCGCGGUAAUACGUAGGGUCCGAGCGUUGUCCGGAAUUACUGGGCGUAAAGAGCUCGUAGGUGGUUUGUCGCGUUGUUCGUGAAAACUCACAGCUCAACUGUGGGCGUGCGGGCGAUACGGGCAGACUGGAGUACUGCAGGGGAGACUGGAAUUCCUGGUGUAGCGGUGGAAUGCGCAGAUAUCAGGAGGAACACCGGUGGCGAAGGCGGGUCUCUGGGCAGUAACUGACGCUGAGGAGCGAAAGCGUGGGGAGCGAACAGGAUUAGAUACCCUGGUAGUCCACGCCGUAAACGGUGGGUACUAGGUGUGGGUUUCCUUCCUUGGGAUCCGUGCCGUAGCUAACGCAUUAAGUACCCCGCCUGGGGAGUACGGCCGCAAGGCUAAAACUCAAAGAAAUUGACGGGGGCCCGCACAAGCGGCGGAGCAUGUGGAUUAAUUCGAUGCAACGCGAAGAACCUUACCUGGGUUUGACAUGCACAGGACGCCGGCAGAGAUGUCGGUUCCCUUGUGGCCUGUGUGCAGGUGGUGCAUGGCUGUCGUCAGCUCGUGGCGUGAGAUGUUGGGUUAAGUCCCGCAACGAGCGCAACCCUUAUCUUAUGUUGCCAGCGCGUAAUGGCGGGGACUCGUGAGAGACUGCCGGGGUCAACUCGGAGGAAGGUGGGGAUGACGUCAAGUCAUCAUGCCCCUUAUGUCCAGGGCUUCACACAUGCUACAAUGGCCGGUACAAAGGGCUGCGAUGCCGUGAGGUGGAGCGAAUCCUUUCAAAGCCGGUCUCAGUUCGGAUCGGGGUCUGCAACUCGACCCCGUGAAGUCGGAGUCGCUAGUAAUCGCAGAUCAGCAACGCUGCGGUGAAUACGUUCCCGGGCCU
rnacentral:rRNA from 1 species